AUAAAAUCAACUUUUCCCUUCCCCUUCCUCACGAUCUCCAAGCCGCGGGACCCCUGAAACUCUUUUUUUUUUCCUCCUCUAACUGACCCGCUUCGUCGGACGCCGCCAGCCGUCCGGACCUCAAGCCAGACGCCACCGUUCCCCUAUCCUAGUCCCUCGUGAAACCCAUUGGUCGCUCCCUGUCCGAAGCCGUCGCUCGUCGAGCCCUAGCGCCGCUCGUUGUCCAGCAUCUCCGGUUGUCCUAAGCCGUCAGAUCUGAAGCUGCUAGCCGUCGCGCCGCCAUCAGUUUUCUCACGCGUCAGAUCUGAAGUUCUGUCGAUCCGCCUCUUCAUCCGUCCCUCGCCAAAAAAAGCUCACCUGUGCGCCGUUCGUUGCUUAGCCGUCCGCCAACUACCGCACUGGUUUGUAGUCGUCAACCGCUGGCAAGCCACUGUCUUGUGUUGGAAUUUGAUGUUGGGUAUUGAUUUCAAGAUUUGGAGGAUUUAGAGGUGUUGCCCAGUAAGAUGGAGAUUUAAUUUCAGCAGAAAAAUUGAUAAAGUUUGGUCUUAUUUCAAGGUUUUGCUUUGUAGAGGGGAGAUAAGUUUGCUUGGGUUUACUUGAUUUAAUUUUGAGGUAAGGGUAAGGAUGCACUGGCGAAUGACAAGAGGAAUCCUUGAACGAGCCAUUGGGGACCAGUUUUAUGUUUCCGCUCAUGAUAUUUAGAUUUCUUUCCAUAUUUUUGAACUUUCAAUUUGAUGUUUGAAACUUACUAUUAAGAUUUGUUUUCAGACCUAUUUAUUAUCA